GCCUAGCCCCGAUAACAAAAGCGUGCCAUCACCACCCCCACGACCCGCGUCGCCGGCGCCCCUCCUCCGCGGCCGGCGCUCUCCCAGCCCGUGGUCGACACCCAUCCUCCUCCGCGGCCAGUGCCCUCCCUCCCUGCGACCGGCGCGCUCCUUCCCCAUGGCCGACGGGCCUCCAGCUCCGUGGCCGGCGCGGUCCCUCCUCGCUGCAGCUUGCCCCUCCUCCAUGGAUGGCCUGCACCGGGAACUCAUUGAGGUGGUACCCUUCAUCCCCGACCUUCAAUUACAGGUCACCAACGACGCUACAAAGAGAAAGAUCUGGGACCUAGAGAUAGACAGUUGUGUCGAUACGGUCCAAGGACACGCAAAGGGUCUCAGUGCUCUUUGUUGGCACCCAGAACUUCGGGUACUAAUUACUGGUUGAGUCGAUGGGACCGUGCGAGUCUGAAACUGGAUGUCUCAUAGCAGUACAUACAGAAGCUUCAGUGUAAACCCAGCUUGAUGAGGUGGUCGCACUCGGCAUGCGAGAGGAAGCCGCUGUACAGAAAUGCUCUGCACGGACAAACAAACAAACCUAGCACUGUAAGACGCAAAUCGACAAACAGGUGGCGCAUGGCGUGCUGAGAAAGGCCAGCCAGAGGGAAGGAAGCAAGCGCCUGAGCUGACCUGGGGCGCCAGGAGAUCUCGGUGACACGCGCCGGGUCGUAGAACCCGCCGCCUCCUUCCGCGGCGGCGUGGGAGAGGGACGGGAUGAGCGCGAGCGCAGCGAGGAGGAAGGUCAGCAUCUGGCCCUCUAGAAGUUCAGUUUGUUGAUUCUCUGAAGUUUUUAAAGUUGAUCAUGACCGUGUAUAUUUUGCAGGGCCCUGUGAAGUUCAAUUUUUUGAUUUUCUGAAGUUUAGUUUGUUGAUUUUCUGAAGAAAUAGGUUGCUUCACUUGCACUCCUCUAAAUAGUCUUGUGUGGUUAUCUCCUCGACUCCUAGGUUCGGCACAAACUGAGAAUUGUAGGCAUCUUCUGAGUUUAUAAUGCUUGAAAUUACAGUACGGGAUUAUAUAACAUUCUAGAAGGUCUUUAGUUGAAACCCCGUUGUGGCAGCAGCAAGCGAUCAUUAGGUCCCCUGGCCUGCUCUUAGCUUGUUGUCUUGAGAAAAGUUCAGAAACUAACUGAACUCAUGUGCUAUUUCAUCCAAACCUAAUUGUAUUCAGAAAAACGAUUUUCCAAAUCCAAACAAAUAGAAGUUCAAGUCGUUGUGUGUUGUUAGGUCAGAAAAUUCUGUGUGCACGGUCCGGUGGUGGUUGACAGCAUCGGCCACCAUGUCUGCGACUGCCAACCUCGACGGCAAGGAGCCAAGGAUAGUGAGCUGUAAACACUGGCACAACACCCUGAUGGAAGCCGGGUCAAUUGUUGCCAAUGCAAGGAGGGAUUAGUAUAGUGGUUUAUAGUGUUCAAAUCUACACAUGCGUGUUCUGGUGGAAUUGGUCAAUGUUGUUCCAUGUAGUUGUAUAGUAUCCAGAUAAAAUCGUCGAUUCCUAUUGUCUAAGUGAUUUUGAUGUCUGAAGUUCAACUGUAUAUGCAGGCGCAAAAAACACACAUC